CCAUUGGAAAUAAAAAUGAAAAAGAUUUUGCAAAGGCAAUUAAUAAUGAGUCAUCAGAGAGAAUGAAGCCACCAAGGAAAUCUAAAGUUUCAAAAACUUGGGAAAGGUCGACAAUGUCAGACAUCCAAGGGAUGACUGAAAAUAUUCUGCUAAUAUGCCAUUGGUGAACAAUACAGAGAUUCCAAAAUGAAAGAAAAGUCAUCCUCUCUGGAAAUGUGAAGCAUAACUAAAGUUUGACCAACAAGUUGUAGAAGUGAAAGGCAUCAAAUAUAAUAACCAAAGAAAACAGAAAAAUACCACACGUCCGGUAAUUCCUCAGCUGGCAGUAAAAACAGAUGAUUGAUUUAAAC
rnacentral:lncRNA from 1 species